rnacentral:rRNA from 1 species
CUGGUUGAUCCUGCCAGUGAUCAUAUGCUUGUCUCAAAGAUUAAGCCAUGCAUGUCCAAGUUCAGCCUAUAUACAGUGAAACCGCGAAUGGCUCAGUACAUCAGCUGUGGUUUAAUAGAUUAUGAGUCCACUUGGAUAACUGUGGUAAUUCUAGAGCUAAUACAUGCCUGUACCUCCUUGGGACUCCUGCGGGACCCAUCGAGGAGCAUUUAUUAGAUAGAGCCGUCAUCUAGCUUACGGGCCGGGUGAACUGAAGUGGUGACUCUGAAUCAACUUAUGCCGAUCGUUAAGGCCUUUGAGCCGGCGACAAAUCUUUCAAGUGUCUGCUCUAUCAACUGUCGAUGGUAGGUUAUACGCCUACCAUGGUUGCAACGGGUGACGGAGAAUCAGGGUUCGAUUCCGGAGAGGGAGCCUGAGAAACGGCUACCACAUCCAAGGAAGGCAGCAGGCGCGAAAAUUACCCAAUCCCGGCAGGGGGAGGUAGUGACGAAAAAUAACAAUACGGGACUCUUUUGAGGCUCCGUAAUUGGAAUGAGUACACUCUAAAGCCUUUAACGAGGAUCUAUUGGAAGGCAAGUCUGGUGCCAGCAGCUGCGGUAAUUCCAGCUCCAAUAGCGUAUAUUAAAAUUGCUGCGGUUAAAAAGCUCGUAGUUGAAGCCGUGGGAAUUCGAUGAAUAGUUACCUUUGCGUGGCGCCUCAUCGGUUCUUUAUCUGGGUUGACCGUUAGUCGUCCUCUUUAUUGAGGGCUUCUGGUGUUCGACAUUAUCACUCUGAUAAAAUUAGGGUGCUAAAAGCAGGCCUUGUGCUGUCAUAUCAAUGCAUGGAAUGAUGGAAGAAGUUGUCGGACCGUUUGUGGCUAGGGACUGACAAGAUGACCAAGAGAAUCGGCCGGGGGCAUUUGUAUUGCGGCGACAGAGGUGAAAUUCUUGGACCGUCGCAAGACAAACUACAGCGAAAGCAUUUGCCAAGAACGUUUUCAUUGAUCAAGAACGAAAGUUAGAGGUUCGAAGGCGAUCAGAUACCGCCCUAGUUCUAACCAUAAACGAUGCCAACUAGCAAUCCGCCUGAGUUGUUUUAUUGACUCGGCGGGCAGCUCCGGGAAACCUAAGUACGGUUCCGGGGGAAGUAUGGUUGCAAAGCUGAAACUUAAAGGAAUUGGCGGAAGGGCACCACCAGGACGUGGAGCUUGCGGCUUAAUUUGACCCAACGCGGGGAACCCUACCCGGCCCGGACACUGAUAGGAUUGACAGAUUGAGAGCUCUUUCUUGAUUCGGUGGAUAGUGGUGCAUGGCCGUUCUUAGUUGGUGGAGCGAUCUGUCUGGUUAAUUCCGAUAACGAACGAGACGCUAUCUUAUUAAAUAGAUUUCAUGUUUGCCGCACAUGAUAGUUACUUCUUAGAAGGAUCAUCG